GACGAACGCUGGCGGCGUGCUUAACACAUGCAAGUCGAGCGGAAAGGCCCUUCGGGGUCCUCGAGCGGCGAACGGGUGAGUAACGCGUGAGUAACCUGCCCUAGGCUUUGGGAUAACCCCGGGAAACCGGGGCUAAUACCGGAUAUGACCUGGUGCCGCAUGGUGUUGGGUGGAAAGUUUUUUCGGCCUGGGAUGGGCUCGCGGCCUAUCAGCUUGUUGGUGGGGUGAUGGCCUACCAAGGCGAUGACGGGUAGCCGGCCUGAGAGGGCGACCGGCCACACUGGGACUGAGACACGGCCCAGACUCCUACGGGAGGCAGCAGUGGGGAAUAUUGCACAAUGGGCGGAAGCCUGAUGCAGCGACGCCGUGUGAGGGAUGAAGGCCUUCGGGUUGUAAACCUCUUUCAGCAGGGACGAAGCGUGAGUGACGGUACCUGCAGAAGAAGCGCCGGCCAACUACGUG
rnacentral:rRNA from 1 species